AUUGAACGCUGGCGGCAGGCCUAACACAUGCAAGUCGAGCGAGCGGCGGACGGGGGAGUAAUGUCUGGGAAACUGCCUGAUGGAGGGGGAUAACUCUUGGAAACGGUAGCUAAUACCCCAUACCAUCAGAUAUGCCCAGAUGGGAUUGGCUCGUAGGUGGGGUAACGGCUCACCCGGGGGACGAUCCCUAGCUGGUCUGAGAGGAUGACCAGCCACACUGGAACUGAGACACGGUCAAGACUCCUACGGUAGGCAGCAGUGGGGAAUAUUGCACAAUGGGCGCAAGCCUGAUGCAGCCAUGCCGCGUGUGUGAAGAAGGCCUUCGGGUUGUAAAGCACUUUCAGCGGGGAGGCGUUACCCGCAGAAGAAGCACCGGCUAACUCCGUGCCAGCAGCCGCGGUAAUAC
rnacentral:rRNA from 1 species